UACGUAGGGUGCAAGCGUUAUCCGGAUUCACUGGGUUUAAAGGGUGCGUAGGUGGGUCUGUAAGUCAGUGGUGAAAUCUCCGGGCUUAACCUGGAAACUGCCAUUGAUACUAUAGGUCUUGAAUUUUCUGGAGGUAAGCGGAAUAUGUCAUGUAGCGGUGAAAUGCUUAGAUAUGACAUAGAACACCAAUUGCGAAGGCAGCUUACUACGGGAGUAUUGACACUGAGGCACGAAAGCGUGGGGAUCAAACAGA
rnacentral:rRNA from 1 species